rnacentral:rRNA from 1 species
AACGAACACUGGCGGCAGGCCUAACACAUGCAAGUCGAGCGAGGACUUCGGUCCUAGCGGCGGACGGGUGAGUAACGCGUGGGAACGUGCCCUUUGCUUCGGAAUAGCCCUGGGAAACUGGGAGUAAUACCGGAUGAGCCCUUUGGGGGAAAGAUUUAUCGGCGAAGGAUCGGCCCGCGUUGGAUUGGUAGUUGGUGGGGUAAUGGCCUACCAAGCCGACGAUCCAUAGCUGGUUUGAGAGGAUGAUCAGCCACACUGGGACUGAGACACGGCCCAGACUCCUACGGGAGGCAGCAGUGGGGAAUCUUAGACAAUGGGGGAAACCCUGAUCUAGCCAUGCCGCGUGAGCGAUGAAGGCCUUAGGGUUGUAAAGCUCUUUCAGCUGGGAAGAUAAUGACGGUACCAGCAGAAGAAGCCCCGGCUAACUCCGUG